rfam:Candidatus Raymondbacteria bacterium RIFOXYD12_FTLL_49_13 rifoxyd3_full_scaffold_1573, whole genome shotgun sequence.
AAAGUCCAGUCAGGGGAAAGGUUAGCCACCACCCCAGAACCGAACUCUGCACCUGACGGGGUAACCUGUCUUCGUGAAGCCAGAGGGAGGGGAUACCGGGCCGCAACGCAAGUGAAGGGGUUGAGCCCCGAAAUGCUCCACUGUUCCGGAAGCCGGCGGUUUUCAUAUGCGCGGAAGGCAAUAAUCCCGUAUCCGUUUUGGCAAGGAUACGGGAAUCCGGCGGGGUCUGAGACCG